rnacentral:rRNA from 1 species
UACGAGGGGGGCGAGCGUUGUUCGGAAUUAUUGGGCGUAAAGGGUGCGUAGGCGGUUCCGCAAGUCCUGUGUGAAAUCUUCGGGCUCAACUCGAAGUCUGCACGGGAAACUGCGGGGCUUGAGUGUGGGAGAGGUGAGUGGAAUUCCCGGUGUAGCUGUGAAAUGCGUAGAUAUCGGGAGGAACACCUGUGGCGAAAGCGGCUCACUGGACCAUAACUGACGCUGAUGCACGAAAGCUGGGGGAGCAAACAGG